rnacentral:ncRNA from 1 species
ACCAAGGGGAGCUUGUGGGACAGGCUGAGAGGAAACUGAGAGUUUCGACCCGGAACCUGAUGUGGAUAAUGCCACCGUAGGGAUGGAA